AAAUUGAAGAGUUUGAUCAUGGCUCAGAUUGAACGCUGGCGGCAGGCCUAACACAUGCAAGUCGAACGGUAACAGGAAGCAGCUUGCUGCUUCGCUGACGAGUGGCGGACGGGUGAGUAAUGUCUGGGAAACUGCCUGAUGGAGGGGGAUAACUACUGGAAACGGUAGCUAAUACCGCAUAACGUCGCAAGACCAAAGAGGGGGACCUUCGGGCCUCUUGCCAUCGGAUGUGCCCAGAUGGGAUUAGCUUGUUGGUGGGGUAACGGCUCACCAAGGCGACGAUCCCUAGCUGGUCUGAGAGGAUGACCAGCCACACUGGAACUGAGACACGGUCCAGACUCCUACGGGAGGCAGCAGUGGGGAAUAUUGCACAAUGGGCGCAAGCCUGAUGCAGCCAUGCCGCGUGUAUGAAGAAGGCCUUCGGGUUGUAAAGUACUUUCAGCGGGGAGGAAGGGAGUAAAGUUAAUACCUUUACUCAUUGACGUUACCCGCAGAAGAAGCACCGGCUAACUCCGUGCCAGCAGCCGCGGUAAUACGGAGGGUGCAAGCGUUAAUCGGAAUUACUGGGCGUAAAGCGCACGCAGGCGGUUUGUUAAGUCAGAUGUGAAAUCCCCGGGCUCAACCUGGGAACUGCAUCUGAUACUGGCAAGCUUGAGUCUCGUAGAGGGGGGUAGAAUUCCAGGUGUAGCGGUGAAAUGCGUAGAGAUCUGGAGGAAUACCGGUGGCGAAGGCGGCCCCCUGGACGAAGACUGACGCUCAGGUGCGAAAGCGUGGGGAGCAAACAGGAUUAGAUACCCUGGUAGUCCACGCCGUAAACGAUGUCGACUUGGAGGUUGUGCCCUUGAGGCGUGGCUUCCGGAGCUAACGCGUUAAGUCGACCGCCUGGGGAGUACGGCCGCAAGGUUAAAACUCAAAUGAAUUGACGGGGGCCCGCACAAGCGGUGGAGCAUGUGGUUUAAUUCGAUGCAACGCGAAGAACCUUACCUGGUCUUGACAUCCACAGAACUUUCCAGAGAUGGAUUGGUGCCUUCGGGAACUGUGAGACAGGUGCUGCAUGGCUGUCGUCAGCUCGUGUUGUGAAAUGUUGGGUUAAGUCCCGCAACGAGCGCAACCCUUAUCCUUUGUUGCCAGCGGUCCGGCCGGGAACUCAAAGGAGACUGCCAGUGAUAAACUGGAGGAAGGUGGGGAUGACGUCAAGUCAUCAUGGCCCUUACGACCAGGGCUACACACGUGCUACAAUGGCGCAUACAAAGAGAAGCGACCUCGCGAGAGCAAGCGGACCUCAUAAAGUGCGUCGUAGUCCGGAUUGGAGUCUGCAACUCGACUCCAUGAAGUCGGAAUCGCUAGUAAUCGUGGAUCAGAAUGCCACGGUGAAUACGUUCCCGGGCCUUGUACACACCGCCCGUCACACCAUGGGAGUGGGUUGCAAAAGAAGUAGGUAGCUUAACCUUCGGGAGGGCGCUUACCACUUUGUGAUUCAUGACUGGGGUGAAGUCGUAACAAGGUAACCGUAGGGGAACCUGCGGUUGGAUCACCUCCUUACCUUAAAGAAGC
rnacentral:rRNA from 1 species